UACGUAGGGUGCGAGCGUUAAUCGGAAUUACUGGGCGUAAAGCGUGCGCAGGCGGCUUUGCAAGACAGAUGUGAAAUCCCCGGGCUCAACCUGGGAACUGCAUUUGUGACUGCAAGGCUAGAGUACGGCAGAGGGGGAUGGAAUUCCGCGUGUAGCAGUGAAAUGCGUAGAUAUGCGGAGGAACACCAAUGGCGAAGGCAAUCCCCUGGGCCUGUACUGACGCUCAUGCACGAAGCGUGGGAGCAAACAGG
rnacentral:rRNA from 1 species